UACGUAGGGGGCAAGCGUUGUCCGGAUUUAUUGGGCGUAAAGAGCGUGUAGGCGGCCAGGUAGGUCAGCUGUGAAAACUCGAGGCUCAACCUCGAGACGCCGGUUGAAACCAUCUGGCUAGAGUCCGGAAGAGGAGAGUGGAAUUCCUGGUGUAGCGGUGAAAUGCGCAGAUAUCAGGAAGAACACCCGUGGCUAAGGCGGCUCUCUAGUACGGUACUGACGCUGAGACGCGAAAAGCGUGGGGGAGCGAACAGGG
rnacentral:rRNA from 1 species